UUUAACAUUGGCUGAACUUGCGAUGAUAUUGGUGCUUCGGAAGUGAGGGAUCAUUACCCCUGUCCAGAGUGGUCUGUCUGCGUUUGGUCACCCACCCACUGCGUUUGAUCUGCUUUUUCCAGGUCCUCACCCUCUACAUCUGGAAUGAUGACACACUCUUCUGCAAUUCGGGCUUUCAGUCCCACUGGCAGAUCAUCUUGAUGCAGUGUGCAACAUCAACCCGAACAAAACAAGGUGGCACUUUUGCAGACUGAUU